UACGGAGGAUGCAAGCGUUAUCCGGAUUGAUUGGGCGUAAAGCGUCUGUAGGUGGUUACGCUAGUCGGCUGUUAAAGAUCAGGGCUGAACCCUGAGCAAGCAGUCGAAACUGCGUGGCUGGAGUACGGUAGGGGCAGAGGGAAUUCCCGGUGUAGCGGUGAAAUGCGUAGAUAUCGGGAGGAAGGCCGGUGGCGAAGGCGGCGCUCUGGAACAUUUCUGACGCUGAGGCUCGAAAGCGUGGGGAGCAAACAGG
rnacentral:rRNA from 1 species